rnacentral:rRNA from 1 species
UACGUAGGAGACGAGCGUUGUCCGGAGUUACUGGGCGUAAAGGGUGCGCAGGUGGCCGCGCGCGUGGGGGGUGAAAUCGCCUGGCUUAACUGGGCGGGGGCCUUCCAGACGGCGUGGCUUGAGCAGCGGAGGGGGGCGUGGAAUUCCGGGUGGAGCGGUGAAAUGCGUAGAGAUCAUGAGGAAGACCAGUGGCGAAGGCGGGUCUCCUGGACAGUUCCUGACACUGAGGCACGAAGGCCCAGGGGGAGCAAACGGGG